UAGCUAGUUGGUGAGGUAAAGGCUUACCAAGGCGACGAUCUGUAGCGGGUCUGAGAGGAUGAUCCGCCACACUGGAACUGAGACACGGUCCAGACUCCUACGGGAGGCAGCAGUGGGGAAUUUUGGACAAUGGGGGCAACCCUGAUCCAGCCAUGCCGCGUGAGUGAAGAAGGCCUUCGGGUUGUAAAGCUCUUUCGGCCGGGAAGAAAUCGCAUGGGCCAAUACCCUGUGUGGAUGACGGUACCGGAAUAAGAAGCACCGGCUAACUACGUGCCAGCAGCCGCGGUAAUACGUAGGGUGCGAGCGUUAAUCGGAAUUACUGGGCGUAAAGCGUGCGCAGGCGGUUUUGUAAGACAGGCGUGAAAUCCCCGGGCUUAACCUGGGAACUGCGUUUGUGACUGCAAGGCUAGAGUACGGCAGAGGGGGGUGGAAUUCCACGUGUAGCAGUGAAAUGCGUAGAGAUGUGGAGGAACACCAAUGGCGAAGGCAGCCCCCUGGGUCGAUACUGACGCUCAUGCACGAAAGCGUGGGUAGCAAACAGGAUUAGAUACCCUGGUAGUCCACGCCCUAAACUAUGUCAACUAGGUGUUGGGUGGGUAAAACCAUUUAGUACCGUAGCUAACGCGUGAAGUUGACCGCCUGGGGAGUACGGCCGCAAGGUUAAAACUCAAAGGAAUUGACGGGGACCCGCACAAGCGGUGGAUGAUGUGGAUUAAUUCGAUGCAACGCGAAAAACCUUACCUACCCUUGACAUGCCAGGAACUUGCCAGAGAUGGCUUGGUGCCCGAAAGGGAGCCUGGACACAGGUGCUGCAUGGCUGUCGUCAGCUCGUGUCGUGAGAUGUUGGGUUAAGUCCCGCAACGAGCGCAACCCUAGUCGUUAAUUGCCAUCAUUUAGUUGGGCACUUUAACGAGACUGCCGGUGACAAACCGGAGGAAGGUGGGGAUGACGUCAAGUCCUCAUGGCCCUUAUGGGUAGGGCUUCACACGUCAUACAAUGGUCGGUACAAAGGGUUGCCAAGCCGCGAGGCGGAGCCAAUCCCAGAAAGCCGAUCGUAGUCCGGAUUGCAGGCUGCAACUCGCCUGCAUGAAGUCGGAAUCGCUAGUAAUCGUGGAUCAGCAUGUCACGAUGAAUACGUUCCCGGGUCUUGUACACACCGCCCGUCACACCAUGGGAGCGGGUUCCGCCAGAAGUAGGUAGCCUAACCGCAAGGGGGGCGCUUACCACGGCGGGGUUCGUGACUGGGGUGAAGUCGUAACAAGGUAGCCGUAGGGGAACCUGCGGCUG
rnacentral:rRNA from 1 species